AUAAACCCGCGCUAGGGAUUGAAAAGGAAAGCCCACAGCGACCUUUUUGGGGAGCGAGGACUUGUAUUGGAAAGCCCGACCGCCU
rnacentral:misc_RNA from 1 species